UUUAAUGAGAGUUUGAUCCUGGCUCAGGACGAACGCUGGCGGCGUGCCUAAUACAUGCAAGUAGAACGCUGAAGAGAGGAGCUUGCUCUUCUUGGAAGAGUUGCGAACGGGUGAGUAACGCGUAGGUAACCUGCCUUGUAGCGGGGGAUAACUAUUGGAAACGAUAGCUAAUACCGCAUAACAAUGGGUGACCCAUGUCAUUCAUUUGAAAGGGGCAACUGCUCCACUACAAGAUGGACCUGCGUUGUAUUAGCUAGUAGGUGAGGUAACGGCUCACCUAGGCGACGAUACAUAGCCGACCUGAGAGGGUGAUCGGCC
rnacentral:rRNA from 1 species